rnacentral:lncRNA from 1 species
AUGGAGAUAGCAGGACAUAAAACAGAAGAGAGAGAGACACAGAGAGAGAGAGAGACAGAGACAGAGAGAUGGCAUGCAGCAUAUAUACCCCUACAAAUAGUUCUAAAAUGCGUUUGCAAAUGCAGAAGUCUUCAGAACCAUCCAACAGUUCAGCACACCCUUUUUAUCUCUUCUCUGCGGGACGUCUCCAUCCAGAUUACUCGAAAAAAGCGGAAAAGGAGUGACUUGGUGACUUCAGUGGGAAUUCCUCAUAAACAAGAAGGGAAAAAGGUCAUCUGGAUUCUUCUGAAGGCAGGAGCCAGGGCCAGAAAUCCCCUGAAAGACCUAUGCAAGAAGAGAAUCUCACCUGCUGCCUCGUCUCCAGAGACCCUGGCCUACACUGAGGUUCAGCUAAAGGUUGGUGACUGA